UACGAAGGGGGCUAGCGUUGUUCGGAAUUACUGGGCGUAAAGCGCACGUAGGCGGACUAUUAAGUCAGGGGUGAAAUCCCGGGGCUCAACCCCGGAACUGCCUUUGAUACUGGUAGUCUCGAGUCCGGAAGAGGUUGGUGGAACAGCUAGUGUAGAGGUGAAAUUCGUAGAUAUUAGCUAGAACACCAGUGGCGAAGGCGGCCAACUGGUCCGGUACUGACGCUGAGGUGCGAAAGCGUGGGGAGCAAACAGG
rnacentral:rRNA from 1 species